rnacentral:rRNA from 1 species
CCUACGGGAGGCUGCAGUGAGGAAUAUUGGUCAAUGGACGAGAGUCUGAACCAGCCAAGCAGCGUGAAGGAUGACUGCCCUAUGGGUUGUAAACUUCUUUUAUAUGGGAAUAAAACAGGGUAUGCAUACCCUCUUGUAUGUACCAUAUGAAUAAGGAUCGGCUAACUCCGUGCCAGCAGCCGCGGUAAUACGGAGGAUCCGAGCGUUAUCCGGAUUUCUUGGGUUUAAAGGGAGCGUAGGUGGAUUGGUAAGUCAGUUGUGAAAGUUUGCGGCUCAACCGUAAAAUUGCAGUUGAAACUGGCAGGCUUGAGUGCAGGAGAGGUGGGCGGAAUGCGUGGUGUAGCGGUGAAAUGCUUAGAUAUCACGAAGAACUCCGAUUGCGAAGGCAGCUCACUGGACUGCAACUGACACUGAUGCUCGAAAGUGUGGGUAUCAAACAGGAUUAGAUACCCCAGUAGUC